rnacentral:rRNA from 1 species
ACGAUCGGUAGCCGGACUGAGAGGUUGGCCGGCCGCAUUGGGACUGAGACACGGCCCAGACUCCUACGGGAGGCAGCAGUGGGGAAUAUUGCGCAAUGGGGGAAACCCUGACGCAGCGACGCCGCGUGGAGGAAGAAGGCCUUUGGGUUGUAAACUCCUUUGAUCGGGGACGAAGAUGACGGUACCCGAAGAACAAGCCACGGCUAACUACGUG